CGUAGGUGGCAAGCGUUGUCCGGAUUUAUUGGGUUUAAAGGGUGCGUAGGCGGCCCUGUAAGUCAGUGCUGAAAUAUCCCGGCUUAACCGGGAGGUGGCAUUGAUACUGCAGGGCUUGAGUAAAGUUGAGGUUGGCGGAAUUGACGGUGUAGCGGUGAAAUGCUUAGAUAUCGUCAAGAACACCGAUAGUGAAGACAGCUAACUAAGCUUUAACUGACGCUGAGGCACGAAAGUGUGGGGAUCAAACAGGAUUAGAUACCCUGGUAGUCCACACUGUAAACGUUGAUUACUCGAUGUUGGCGAUACACAGUCAGCGUCUUAGCGCAAGCGAUAAGUAAUCCACCUGGGGAGUACGCCGGCAACGGUGA
rnacentral:rRNA from 1 species